rnacentral:rRNA from 1 species
UUUAAUUAAACAGUCGGAUUCCCCUAGUCAGUGACAGUUCUAAGUUGAUUGAUUUUAGCCAAUUGCGAGGCAGCAGCCAGCCGGUCACAACAGAAGCUGCAUCCAACCGCCACUACAAACUGCCCGCUACCCUGCCAUACAAUCACUACCCGACGCAAGGUGCGCGCACGCCCGAAGACGGCUCACUACCCCACGCCUAGCAGUGGAUCGCACGCCGAGCAGACAACACAGUCCAAUUGACUCAAUCCUUAGAGCCAAUCCUUUUCCCGAAGUUACGAAUCUAUUUUGCCGACUUCCCUUACCUACAUUAUUCUAGAGCCAGAGGCUAUUCACCUUGGAGACCUGAUGCGGAUCUGAGUACGGCCAGGCUCACAAUCAACCACUCCCUUGGAUUUUCAUGGACCAUCAGCAACAUUCCGGACGCCACCAGAAAUGCGACGCUCUUCCCCAACUCCUACCCUAUCUCCGAAUGACUCUACUCCAGGGUGGUCGCCAGGUUAAACAGAAAAGAUAACUCUUCCCAGAGUCGCUGAUAGCAUCUCCAAGUUCGUUUGCGUUACCGCCUCUUCCACAACAACACCGACUAGCGGCGUCGUUGCCAAAUAUCUGAGCGCUGGUUCAGGAAUAUUAACCUGAUUCCCUUUCGCAGACUGAAACGCUGCAAUGCCAGCAUUGCCAACUAGUUGCAUCACGUUCCCUGUGCUUAAGUGUGUACACUUCUGCUUAGGACCGACUAACCCGCGGCCAAUUGCUGUUCACGCGGAACCUUUCUCCACUUCGGCCUAGAAGGUUCUCACUUCUAUAAGCUGCUACUAAAACCAAGAUCUGAACUGGCGAUGCGGGAUGAACCGAGAGUUGGGUUAAGGUGUCUAAGUGUACGCCAAUGGAAACCACAAAAGGAGUUAACAGAUGAAAACAGCGAGACCAUGACCUUGAAAGUAGGUAUUGGCUAAGAAGUGAGUAAAACCUUACUCGCCGAAUCUGUUAGCCCUGAAAAUGAAUGACGCUGUAGCGUACCACCGAUACCCGACCAUGUUUUGUAGCGAAAACAUGGGUAGGAGGGUGUGGCGAUUGCUAAGAAGGGCAGAGGUGACUUUGUCUGGAGCAGUCGCCAGUACAGAUCUUGGUUUUAGUAGCAGCUUAUAGAAGUGAGAACCUUCUAGGCCGAAGUGGAGAAAGGUUCCGCGUGAACAGCAAUUGGCCGCGGGUUAGUCGGUCCUAAGCAGAAGUGUACACACUUAAGCACAGGGAACGUGAUGCAACUAGUUGGCAAUGCUGGCAUUGCAGCGUUUCAGUCUGCGAAAGGGAAUCAGGUUAAUAUUCCUGAACCAGCGCUCAGAUAUUUGGCAACGACGCCGCUAGUCGGUGUUGUUGUGGAAGAGGCGGUAACGCAAACGAACUUGGAGAUGCUAUCAGCGACUCUGGGAAGAGUUAUCUUUUCUGUUUAACCUGGCGACCACCCUGGAGUAGAGUCAUUCGGAGAUAGGGUAGGAGUUGGGGAAGAGCGUCGCAUUUCUGGUGGCGUCCGGAAUGUUGCUGAUGGUCCAUGAAAAUCCAAGGGAGUGGUUGAUUGUGAGCCUGGCCGUACUCAGAUCCGCAUCAGGUCUCCAAGGUGAAUAGCCUCUGGCUCUAGAAUAAUGUAGGUAAGGGAAGUCGGCAAAAUAGAUUCGUAACUUCGGGAAAAGGAUUGGCUCUAAGGAUUGAGUCAAUUGGACUGUGUUGUCUGCUCGGCGUGCGAUCCACUGCUAGGCGUGGGGUAGUGAGCCGUCUUCGGGCGUGCGCGCACCUUGCGUCGGGUAGUGAUUGUAUGGCAGGGUAGCGGGCAGUUUGUAGUGGCGGUUGGAUGCAGCUUCUGUUGUGACCGGCUGGCUGCUGCCUCGCAAUUGGCUAAAAUCAAUCAACUUAGAACUGUCACUGACUAGGGGAAUCCGACUGUUUAAUUAAAACAAAGCAUUGCGAUGGCUGGAAACGGUGUUGACGCAAUGUGAAUUCUGCCCAGUGCUCUGAAUGUCAAAGUGCGGAAACGCAACCAAGCGCGGGUAAACGGCGGGUGUAACUAUGACUCUCUUAAGAUAGCCAAAUGCCUCGUCAUCUAAUUAGUGACGCGACAAACAGUCAAGGGAACGGGCUUGACUGAGACAGCGGGGAAAGAAGACCCUGUUGAGCUUGACUCUAGUUUGAUAUGGUGAGAAGACAUUAAGGGUGUAGAAUAGGUGGGAGAGUGAGGGGCACUCGUGGCUGCUCACUCAACGAUGAAAUACCACCACUUUGAUCGUUUUUUCACUAAAUCGGUGAGAAGGGGAGUGCUCAGUUGUCAGUGUUAGCUGUUAAUAUUCCCUUGGGGCGUGUGGUUGGUGGUGCUUCGGUGCUGCUGGCUGGCGUCGGUAAGGGGAUAGGUUAACAACGGAUUGAUGUCACGAUAGGAAGUGUUAAGAUGGUCUGUUGUGUGUCUGCGGGUGCGGUGCAAGUGAUUUGUGCGGUUCGCAGGCAUGCGAUGAGCUGUGCGAGCAGUGUGAUCGUCGACCUAGCCAUGGAUAUGCGUGAAAGCGUGCAUUCGCAUGGGUAAUGACCGAUGACAGUAUCAAAUGGGGAGUUUGACUGGGGCGGUACAUUCUUUAAAAUGCAACGAGAGUGUCCAAAGGUGGGCUCACCGUGGACAGAAACCACGGGUGGAGCAGAAGGGCAAAAGCCUGCUUGAUUUAGAUUUUCAGUAGUAAUAUAAAGCACGAAAGUGUGGCCUAGCGAUCCUUUAGGUUGACCUGAGAGUUUCAGGCUAGAGGUGUCAGAAAAGUUACCACAGGGAUAACUGGCUUGUGGCGGCCAAGCGAACAUAGCGACGUCGCUUUUUGAUCCUUCGAUGUCGGCUCUUCCUAUCAUUGGGCAGCAGUAUACCCAAAGUGUUGGAUUGUUCACCCAUAAACAGGGAACGUGAGCUGGGUUUAGACCGUCGUGAGACAGGUUAGUUUUACCCUACUGUCUCUAGAUAUGCAUAUUACCAGUAAUCCUAUUUAGUACGCAAGGACCUGUGGGAUCGGAUAAACGGUGAAGCAUUUGGUUGAUAAGCCAUAGAUGCAAAGCUGUCAUCCGUAGGAUAAUGACUGAACGCCUCUAAGUCAGAAGCCUAUCUGAAUAUAUGCAAAGUCUUAAAUAUGAUAUGAAAGUGUAAAUGUGAGUUCAAACACAAAGUUA